GUGGCUAUAGCUCAGUUGGUAGAGCCCCGGAUUGUGGUUCCGAUUGUCAUGGGUUCGAAUCCCAUUAGUCACCCCA
rnacentral:tRNA from 1 species